rnacentral:lncRNA from 1 species
UUCUGCGAGGUAAGUAGGAUUCUUCUGCUUGAAAAACUCAGGGGUGAAAACAAAAUAACCCUCGAGGAUCAUAUGGGUGAGGCCGGUGAAAACCCACCAGCACAUGAGAAUUUUGUCUGUUUUUGAUAUUUUGGGAAACCGCCCUGUCGUGACAUUGAUCCAAACAAAGAAGACGACUAGAAGGGAAGCAGAGCCAUAAACACCGAGAAUGGUGGAUUGAGAGAGUAUAAUGGGAACAUAAUCCGGUAAAAUCAGAUCUUUAGGAAUGAAAGGGUGAAUCGAUUCCGAUGCAUCAACUCCGGCCAUUUUCUUC